GCUCGGAGCGGGCUUGAGGUGCUGCUGGUGAACUUCCUCCCCCUUCGCUUUUGCUUGCUCCGCUUCUGCUGAUGUCACGGCCGCCGGAGCUCGGGAGGCUCUCUCGCCAAUCACAGCCGGGAAGCCUGGGAAUGAAGGCCGUCAUCGUUACCACUCCCAAUGGUUUACAACAGGAUUCUGCAGAGGAGAAGGGGAACCGCAGCUUCAUGUUUCUAUAAAGGGAAAAGCCUUUCUGCUGGGUUGCCAUACCUGGAUGAUAAAUCCAAUGAACUGCAGCUAAUAUUCUACAGGGGAAACCUGGAAAAAAAUGUUAAUUAUUAUGUCAGAAGGUUGCUAUAUUUUUUUUUUCCUGCUUCCUGAUUAACUUUCAAAAAUAGUACGUUUGCAGCAUUCUGCUGAGUGGACCUGGAUAAGUUUCUAGCAUAAUUUUAGCUUAUGAAAAGAUGUGUAUGUUCCAAGGUUGGCCCUCCUGUUUUAUUUCCCCCUAAGAAGACGUGCUGAUAAAAAAUGAGCCAACAAAAAAUCAUUUAUAAAGAUCAAACCUGAGUGCAGCAUCCAAUAUUUAUAUAUUUACAGUAUAUCUUGUUCCAUUCAUAGUUGUCUGGAUUUAUAAGAUACAUGUUCCCUCUUUUAGGAAACCCUAUAUAUAUAUAUAAUUAGAUUAUAAUCCAUAAUCUAAUUUUAAUGUGAUAUAGACGUGUGCGUGUGUGUAUGUGUGUGUAUAUGUAUAUAUGUGUGUAUCAUAUACAGUAUAUAUAUGAUUAAAAGUAAAAUUGCUGCGUAAUUUUGGAAUCCAGAUUUCUGGACUUACUAGUCUUUGACUGCCCACCCACCUUACUCCAGAAGUAGUAAGAAUCCCUUUCCUUAUGUCGAGAUGUACAGUAUAGGCCAGUUCUACUGCCUUUGGGGAUCUUCCCAGUCUAUUUAAUGAAAUCCUAAAGUUUUGUCCUGAAGUUAAUACCAUUAAUUAAAAGGUAUCCAUUAUUCAUAAAAUUAUACAUGGAACAGAAAUAAAAUUAAUUAGCAAUUUAUACAAAUACCUAUUGAGAUAUAAAAUGGAAGACGAGGUUGUCAAAGACACAAUGA